rnacentral:rRNA from 1 species
GUAGUCUGCAACUCGACUACAUGAAGCUGGAAUCGCUAGUAAUCGCGGAUCAGAAUGCCGCGGUGAAUACGUUCCCGGGUCUUGUACACACCGCCCGUCACACCAUGGGAGUCAGUAACGCCCGAAGUCAGUGACCCAACCGUAAAGGAGGGAGCUGCCGAAGGCGGGACGGAUAACUGGGGUGAAGUCGUAACAAGGUAAC